AUUGGUGUGUCUGUCUUAUUUUGUUUGGGGAGUUAUACAGAUUUCUAAAGAUUAAACACUGGGGCCAUCAAUGUCAUAUGUAUGUAUGUUUUCUAUCAGUUAUUUAGAGCCACCACUGGUAUUUACCUUCCUCUAUCUAGAACAGAUGUUCUUUAUGCAAGACUUAUUUACUACCUGCUAUUUAAUGCCUGUCUCCAGAGAGCGUAGGAAUACUUUGGAAUGAUUUGAAAGUUCUGGCAUCUGUGUAUGGAUUUCUGGGAGGCAGAUUCUUAGCUUUUACCAGAUUCUCAAAUGAAUAUGUCACUCAAACACACAAAAUUUACAGCAUUAUAAGGAUCACCACAGUAACUCUGGUUAUUUAGGAUCUUACUGAAUUCCAUAGUUUCUUAAUAACCUGUUAAGUAAUCACAGCACCCUGUAGUUAUGCGAUACUUUUGUAAUUUUCAGUUUUUAAAUCCAUUCUCUCAUUUGAGCCUCAUAGCAAUCUUGUGUGUUAGACUCUUUGGUAGUAUUCCCAUUUUGUAGAUGAGGAAGAUUAAGGUCAGAUAAGGUAGUUAUUUGUUCUAGGUUACAAAUUUACUACAUGGCAAAGCUAUGGGAUUUUUUUCUGUGUAGUAUUUUUUGUGCCUCUCAUUAAUGACUAAUUUAAUCUCCAGCUGAUAUUACAGAAUGCAAGAGAAAUCCGUAGGGAUCAAAAACCAAAGAAAGAACUAUAAAUUACAAAAGAAGAGACUAGAAUAUGGCUUUCCUGAGGGGUGUUGCUCAUCUGCAGUAAGGUCUUGGAUUUUAACAACCACUUGUGAACAGGAAGCAAAGCGUUGUAUUAGAUUAUCACAUAUAAAAUGUCAGGACUCUCAAAAGAACUGCUUUCUCAGCAAAAAGGUAAAGAUGUGAAGAUACCAAGGAAGCGUAGAUCUCGCUCCUUGAAAUGUAUGGAUGGCUCCCCUUCAAAUAUAUGCAUGGACCAGCAGCUCACAUGGAUGUGGAAUUGAAAUUUAGAUAACCGGGAUAAUCUUCUUCACAGUAAGAAAGUAACAUAAAAAGAGGGUCUCAGAAUCUUUAGUCCUGUCCUAUGGUACCUAGCAGAAGCAAAUAUAAAAUCACUUUGCAGGGAUAUGCCCUCAACCCUGGUCACAGGAUUCCUACAAGUAAAGACUCAUGAGCUAAAAUCCAGGGCUAUAAAUGAUUAAGAGGAAAGCAUCUGCAAAGGAGGCAGUAGACACAACAGACAACAGGAUUAGACCUUCAAGGAGGUCAGGUGACAUUCUCAAAACUAUAAAAUAGUUGUAUCUAAAAUACACCCCACAGGUGCCCCCGAGUGGCUCAGUCGGUUAAGUGUCUGAAUCUUGAUCUCCGCUCAAGUCAUAAUCUCAAAGUUUGUGAGUUUGAGCCCCGCGUCAGGCUUUGCACUAACAGCACGGAGCCUGCUUAGAAUUCUCUCUCCUUCUGUCUCUGCCUCUAACCCUCCUCCUGCACGUGCAUGCUGUCUCUCACACUCUCAAAAUAAAUAAACUUUAAAAAAAAUAAUAAAAUACAAACAUAAAAAAGGAUACAAAACCCUAAGAAUCUGGUACCAGAAAAAGGCAAUAGGUAAAUGUUCAAAAAACCCAGAUUUAGAAAUUGAAAGUAUAGCUGUGACAUAAAAAACUCAAUGGACAGAGGCACCUGGCUGGCUCAGUCGGUGGAGCAUGCAACUGUAUCUCAGGGUUGUAAGUUCCAGCCCCAUGUUGGGUGUAGAGAUUACUUAAAAAUAAAAUCUUUAAAAAAAUGUUUUAAUGUUUAUUUAUUUUUGAGAGAAAGAGAGAUUCCAAGGCAGGCUCCAGGCUCUGAGCUGUCAGCAGAGCCCAAUGCGGGGCUCAAACCCACAAAUGGUGAGAUUGUAAACUGAGCCAAAGUCAGACGCUCAACUCACUGAGCCACCCAGGUGCCCCAAAAAUAAAAUCUUUAAAAAAAAAAAAAAAACUCACUGGGGCGCCUGGGUGGCUCAGUCAUAUGAGCAUUGGACUUCAACUGAGGUCACGAUCUUGUGGUUUGUGAGUUUGAGCCCUGCAUCAGGCUCACUGCUGUCAGUGCAGAGCCCACUUUGGAUCCUCUCUGACCCCUCUCUCUCUGCCUCUCCUGCUCUCUGUCUCUACCCCCACUCAUGUGCUUUCUCUCAAAAAUGAGUAAACAUUUAAAAAAAUACAAAAAAAAAAAACCUCACUGCAUAGAUUAGACAGGUUAGGGAUAACAGAAAAGAGUGUUAGAAACCUAAAAGGUUGAUCUGUGCAAAUUACCAGAAUACAACAGAGAAUGAGAUUGAACUCAGAUUGAGUUCAGAAAGGAGGGUUAGAGAAUGGAAUGAAAAGGACUGUUUACAUAUAUCUGAAUAGGAGUUUGAAAAAUGAAGCCAUGAAAAAGAUCGUGUCAGAAUUUUUCAGAAUUAAAAAUUUGACUCUCUAGAUUCAAGGAGCAAAUGAUCCAUAUACAUACUUUGAAGUGAAACUUAGAAUCAGUGAUAAAGAAAUAAUCUAAAUUGAGCCAAAUAGUAGCUAUAAUUUUCACAUCAUACAUAGGCCUGGGUAUUAUGAUAGGCUCUUUGAGGAAUAUAAGAAUAUAAGAUACAGUCCCGGUAUUCAAGGAUUUAUCAGUCUGGUAAAGAAAAGAACAUACAAGUAAUCAAGUCAGUAGUUUUCAACCUUAGCCCUUUUAUGAAAUAUUUUUAUAUUUAUUUAUUAUGAAAGUCAUAGCUCAUACCUACUUUCACACAUAAUUUUUUAAAAUAUCAAAUAAUGUCCUAACCAUAAUAAAAAGAACUAAAAAGAUACGUAAUUUACAACCAGAUGACAUUAAUAUACAAAUGUUCAGGCAAAUCAUUACAGUCUUCUACUUUGAGAGGGCAGUAACUGUAAUUAUAAUGUGGAUAACAUGUCAAAACAAAUUAGAUUGACAAAGUAAAGAAAAUUAUUUAGACAUUUUCACAUUCUUUGGAUUCUGAAAUUCUGUGAUGUGUCAAGGCAGUGUUCAGUCUGUAAUGCUAUAAAAAGAUUUCUUAUCCUAUCCUUAAAAAAAACAAAAGCAAGAAAUAGAGGAUGGAUUGGAGAAAGGACGCUAAAUGCAUGAGAUUUUUUUAGAAUUUGUCCUCUAAGAACAUCUUCAGUUAAAUUAAAAACCAAGUGUAAAACAAAAACAAAAACAAAAAAAACCCAACUGUAAUCCAAAAUUAAUUGUAGGAGUUUCACAGCAUAAAUUUCUCAUUAUGCUACAGAUUUGUUUCUUUCCAAACCGUUAGGAAAUAGAGUGGCUGGCUCACUUAAUUCUUUCUUACAUUUUGGACUUCUUCAUAAGCUCCAUUUAAAAGUAGGGAUAGCAGAAUGUAUGACAUGGUUUUUUUCCUUCUUUUCAAAGCAAAUUAAAAGCCACUAGAUGGGCGCCUGUGUGGCUCAGUCGGUUAAGCAUCUGACUCUUGGUUUCAGCUCAGAUCUCUCAGGUUUCGGUUUCGUGGGUUCAAGCCCCACAACGGGCUCUGUGCUCUCU